AACGAACGCUGGUGGCAGGCCUAACACAUGCAAGUCGAGCGAGGACUUCGGUCCUAGCGGCGGACGGGUGAGUAACGCGUGGGAACGUGCCCUUUGCUUCGGAAUAGCCCUGGGAAACUGGGAGUAAUACCGGAUGAGCCCUUUGGGGGAAAGAUUUAUCGGCGAAGGAUCGGCCCGCGUUGGAUUAGGUAGUUGGUGGGGUAAUGGCCUACCAAGCCGACGAUCCAUAGCUGGUUUGAGAGGAUGAUCAGCCACACUGGGACUGAGACACGGCCCAGACUCCUACGGGAGGCAGCAGUGGGGAAUCUUAGACAAUGGGGGAAACCCUGAUCUAGCCAUGCCGCGUGAGCGAUGAAGGCCUUAGGGUUGUAAAGCUCUUUCAGCUGGGAAGAUAAUGACGGUACCAGCAGAAGAAGCCCCGGCUAACUCCGUG
rnacentral:rRNA from 1 species